UUAGUAACGGCGAGUGAAGCGGUAAAAGCUCAAAUUUGAAAUCUGGUACUUUCAGUGCCCGAGUUGUAAUUUGUAGAAUUUGUCUUUGAUUAGGUCCUUGUCUAUGUUCCUUGGAACAGGACGUCAUAGAGGGUGAGAAUCCCGUUUGGCGAGGAUACCUUUUCUCUGUAAGACUUUUUCGAAGAGUCGAGUUGUUUGGGAAUGCAGCUCAAAGUGGGUGGUAAAUUCCAUCUAAAGCUAAAUAUUGGCGAGAGACCGAUAGCGAACAAGUACAGUGAUGGAAAGAUGAAAAGAACUUUGAAAAGAGAGUGAAAAAGUACGUGAANAUUGUUGAAAGGGGAAGGGCAUUUGAUCAGACAUGGUGUUUUUUUAAUGUGCAAGUCUCUCGUGGACAUGUGCCUCUGGAAAUUAACACUGGGCCAACAUCAGUUCUGGCGGCAGGAUAAAUCAUUAAGAAUGUAGCUACCUCGGUAGUGUUAUAGCUUUUUGGAAUACUGCCAGCUGGGAUUGAGGACAUGCGCUUCGGUCAAGG
rnacentral:rRNA from 1 species